UACAACUCAACAAAUGCAUAGCUCCAC
rnacentral:piRNA from 1 species